AUGUGAGGAGAAGAGGCAGAAGUGAAGCCAGGCACAGGCCUGGGCAGACCGGGGAGGCCGGGGAGGCCAGGAGGUCACCACCCUGCUCCCAGCCCCUACCCCACUUCCUGUCUCCACACAGGUUAGCCCUCAUAUUACUCGAUCACUCGAGGCAGAACCCUCUGGUCACAUCACAGAAUGUCCUUAGUGAGUCUCCGAGGCACAGACUUCUGCAUGCCCAGGAAUGUUUUCCUUCACCCUCUCUGAAGGGUGGCUUUGCUGCAGCUGGCACCGUGCUGAUGGUCACUUCUCACCUGACAUCGGGACACCCUUCAUUGACACCUUAGAGCCAGUGCAGCAGCCUUCUCUGCUGCUUUGGAGUCUUGGUGCACGUAUGCUUGCAUGCGCAUCAGAAGCCUGAAGUUCCAUUUGUCAUUUGUCACAGUGUUUGGAGGACUGGUUGAGCCGCCGGCUUCUGAGGAUUAUCUUGACUCUGCCUUCCACCUUGCCACAGGAGUUCUGGGACCUCACUACCAUGUUUAGCUUUACACGGAUCCUGGAGACUCAAACCCAGGCCCCCAUGCUUGCAUGGCAAGCCCUUUACCCACCGCUGGCUAGUUUUAUGUCAAAUUAGUACAAGCUAGGGUUAUGUGAGAAGAGGGAACCUCAGUAAAGAAAAAUGCCUCUGUAAGAGCAGGCUGUAGGCCAGCCUGGAGGGGAUUUUCUUGGUUACUGAUUGAUAAUGGAGGGCCCAGCCCAUUGUGGACGUUGCCACCGCUGGGCUGGCGGUGCUGUAAGAAAGCAGGCUGACGAGUAUGAAGCUAGUAAGCAGUCUUUCCCUGUGGCCUUUGUAUCUGCUCCUGCCUCUAGGUUCCUAGCCUGCUUGAGUCCC
ensembl:lincRNA 9130204K15Rik RIKEN cDNA 9130204K15 gene